rnacentral:lncRNA from 1 species
GAUCCUGACCUUCCGGCUGCUCACGCCCGCCACACCCUGGAGCACCACCACGCACCGCCUCAUGCCGCCCGCCUUUCGUGCCGCCGUGCGCACACUGCUGCUAGCGGCGGCGGGCGCAGGCGCCGGCUCACCGUCACCGUCCACCGGCGCAGCCGGUGUGGAGCCGGGCGCGGGCGCGGGCGCAGCGGCGGGGCCCUCGGCUCGGCCCACGGCUCUGUCAAGCCUGCCGCAUGACGCCAUUGAGCAUAUCAUUGCGGAGGCUGCGGCGCCGCGGGUGGCGUGGGCGCUCUGCGAGGCGCGGGAGGUGCUGGCGUUCCCCACGCUGGACAUCUGGGCCGAGCAGCCGCACCAGCGGCAGCGGGAGGCGGGUGAGCAGGUGGUGGAGCAGACGGAUGAGGAGGCUGGGGGCAGUGCCGGAGCUGGGGCCGGGCCCAGCGGGAGCGGGAGCGGGGGUGCGGGGGCAGGGCGCGUGGUGGGGUGGGACCAGGACCCUUGGCAGGCCUGGGAUGUCACGAACCGUGAGGCUUGAGGCGGGUGUUGCAGGAGGACGGCGUCGGCAGGCUGGACUAAGCUAUGAGAUAGGAAGGAUGAAAGGGAUGCUCCAGCAACGCAUUCAUGUACUAUUGCAUGCAUGGCACAGCCAUGGCGCGCCCGUGCACACACAUUGAUGCUCAUAGCGACGGCGCGAACGGCUAUGUGGCGUUUGUGAUGUGGUCUGGUCCCACACGACUACCGUAUUUGAGGGCGGCUGAUCAUGUGUUGAAUAGUUGGUUCUGGUCGGUACCGCGAUGCAGCCCAGGCCUACAGGGUGUUGGCCGCAUACAUACAGCAGGCAGCAGGUGUGUGCACGGGAGAAAUAGCGGGUGAUCGAGGCUGUGGCUUGUGCUGCGCUGCACUGCUACUACUGCUGCUGUAGUGCGAGAAUCGGGGCUGUGCUGACCCAGUUAUGGACGCUCUCAGGUUGACUUUCAAAGAACGUGACACUGCUGUCUUGUGCAGUAAGUGCUGCAAUUGCGGUCUUCGGCUCAGUGUAUCGGAGUAAUCGGACACACUGGCCAGAAGGCUACGGCAAUGCAUGCAUCACAAUAUGCGUAUCACAUUGAAGCGCACUCCGCUUGACUUCCUGUGCCCGGGCCCAGUUUCCCACUACGGCAGCCUGCCGCUUCGCACAUAACAGCCGGCAACCACAUUCCUGACUCUCGGUCACAGGCUCACAGCAGGGUCAGCACGCUAUCUGGCCCCCCUUGUACAUUUCUAACUCGCCCCCAUCGGUCAGACUUGUAUCCGGCUCAGCCCGUACCACUCAGCCGCCGUACCCCCUCCAUCUCCUGUCAAUCGGAAUCAAGAUGUCUAGUUUGCUACAGCCGCAUCCUCCCAGGCACCAUGCGGCCAGCGUUCUCCCGUCGCCACUGCUCCAGCCACGCCCGAAUCUCCUGCGCCUCCGGGCCCUCGCCCCGCCGCGCCACCGCCUGCACCGCUAGCUGCCACUCCCCCUCGUGCCGCAGCCCCUCCGCCGCCGGGCCGCCCAGCACCGCACAGGCCCUCACGCUGUAAGCCGCAUCCUUCAGCCGCAGUGCCUUGCCCUUGGUUGCGUUGAGUGCGGCCAGGAGCGCUGCGGCCGCGCCCUCCCGGUCUCCCUCCAGCAGCCACCGCAGCUCGCUCAGCGGCACGUCCGGGUCCUCCAGCAGCGCCAACAGCCCCUGGCAGGCGCUGCUGCCGCCCAGCCGCAACCGCGACAGCUCGCGGAGCGUGCGCCGGUCGCCCAGCGCCCCGCUGUAAGCCUCAGCCCCCUGGGGGAUGCAGCGUGGGGGUGCAGUGAUUGCGGGCGGUCUAGUACCAGUAAGUCAGGGCGAGCCAGGAUGCAAGCGGGCUGCAGGCGGGCUGCACAAUGCAGCAGCGAGUCGCGACCACCCCAUGCGAUCAUGCACCCAUGGUCGUACGGUAGCCUAGUAUGCAAGCGUUGCAAAUCCCCGUGCAGGUGUGCGUUUAGGUAACCCGCGCUCGCUGACGUGCUCUCACCGGCUUGAAGCAGCCGCACUCGGCCAGCUGCCGCAGGACCUCCACGCAGCCCGCGCGCGCUGCGACCAGCCACCACACGAACCCCCUGCCCUGUGUCGCACGCACGCCGUGAUCCAGCGCCCAGCGCACCACCUCCGUCUGACCUCGGAGCAGCCCCCGCUCCAUCACCACCUCCGCCGCCCCCCGCUUGAGGAACUUGGGCAAGCCCUCGCGCCGCCAGCACGCCACCGCCGCCGCCCUGCCGGUGGCUGGCUUGGCGGCCUCGCGCAGGACCCACUCCACCACGCCGAUGUGACCCUCCGCCGCCGCAUCCUCGAGCACACACGACAAAGAGAAGUCGCAGCAGCCCAAGGAGCCGUAGCACCCCACCAGGAGCUGCAGCGCUUCGACGCUACCAGCAGCCGCGGCGGCGCGCAGGCACAAGGGUGCGCACAUGCAACACUGCUCGCCCCAGCGCAGCUGGGUGCGUGCGCCCACUGUGUCCAGCAAGUAGCGCAGCGCCGGGACGUCGCCGCGCCGCGCCGCCGCUUCCACCACCCGCAUCAGGUCGGCGCCGCCACUCGGUCGCCAGCGGCGCUGCUCCCACAUCGCCCGCACGCGGUCCAGCCCAUCCGGCCUCUGCAUGGCCGCCUCGUACAGCCUCACGAGCAGCGCGUCGUUGUCGCGGCCGGAGGCGAGCUGAGCAUUGGCCUCGUCGCAGUGCCGGCGCAGCAGCACGUCUAGCUUCUCCAGCCAGCAGGCCGUGGGGCUGCCCGCGGCCGCGAUCAGCAUCGCCUCAAACUGCGCGUCCGCCACCUCGCAUCGGAAACCGUCGCUGCGCUUUUCCACGUAUGCGGGGCCGAAGCGGCCUGCCGCCGCGUUGCCUGCCUGCAUUGGGUGCGGCUGCUGCGGCUGCCCGUCUGCUGGUGGAGGCUGCUGCUGAGGUUGCUGGUGGAGCUGCAGCCGCCAUUGCUGCAGCUGCUGUGCACGCCCCCCCAGCCAGUAGGUGUACGUGCGCUCCAGGUCGCGCACGCCGCACCCGUGCGCCGCCGCCACCACCAGCUCUUGCGCCGCGCAAUCCGCCCUGCCAUCCUUGGGACACAGGUACAGCAGCCGCUGCGCCAGGUCUGCAUGCCCUCCCCGCGCUGCCGCGAAGGCGGCGGCUUCUCCCCAGGCGCAGCGCCCGCCCGCCAGCAACCAGUCGCAGACGUCGCCAUUACCGGCUGCGGCUGCGCUGCACAGUGUGGACGGCUCGGUACUGAAGGUCCGGUUGUGCAGCGGGCAGCCCAUUGCUGCUAAGCCCUCACACAGUGCCAGCGCGACUCCAGGGCCCGGCGCGGCGGCAGCAGCCGUGAAGAGCCAGCUGUCGGGACAUAGCCCCGUCGCCUUCAGAGCCGCCUGCACAGCCUCCAGGCUGCCGCCACGAGCUGCGCCGCAGACGAUCUGCUUCCGCUGGAUGAGGGUGCUGCGGUGCACCAGCGGUUGGGGCACGCGGGCGUAUUCGUGGACUGGCAGCGGCUCCGCCGCUCGGACCACCUUGUGCGCGGAUAACAGCUGCGCUGUCGCCUUGUUGAGCAGGCGCAGCGUCAUCGCUACCUCGUUUGGCGGCAGAAAAUGGGCGAUGCGCUCAAUCAGCCCCGGAAUCCAGGGCUCCUGAAACCCGGAGUCGACAGGGUCGCAUCGCUGCUCUUUCUUUGCGGGCUUCGGAUUUGGGUUACGACGUCGCUGUCGCGGAGGCAUUCCUUAGUGUAGAAGCUGCAGACUUGAUGUGUUAUUACACACUGACGCGCACUUUUCGGCAGUGCGCGACCGAUGCCAAUUAGAAGCUUCUAACAGUUGAUGGACUGCACCAGGCCCCUGAAUGCAAGACAGCUAUGUGGAGAUAUUUUGGUAUGAUGCCUAGACCAUCACCCACUGAGAAAGUACGGGCAGGCUGCGGGAUGUGCCUCAUGCGCUACAUGGCACACCCAGGACCCCCAAUCCGCCUGCCUGUCGCACCAGGGGAGGUCGGCAAACUCCAAGGACGCCAGCAUAGCAAAUGGCCACCCCCAAUGCAAGGGCUAAACUUCAACCGCCAAGAAUUACAGACGACAGGCCGAAGGCCACGCUUGGGCGUGUGUCACUGGCGCCGCCCACAGCUGCGGCGCCCGCCGAGCCUGCCGCCGUGACGCCUCGCUCUGAUGCCGAGUAGCCAGGCAGCGACAGGCGGUUGAUGUAUGUGUCAGCGGUGGUGCCCAGAUUGAGACCCACGGUGAAGGUCAGUGGCUCAGCGGUAUCGAAUCCCCCUGCGCACGCAGCGAGUGCAGUCGGACACAGGGCACGCAUGAUGUGGCUGGGUGAGUGGGUCGCGUGCCGAGGUCAAGACUCGGCAAGGCCGGCGCGCCACGCUGAUGGUCUGUGCCAGGUCGGAACGGCUACACGUAUGGGAAGAAAGAGGCUGGAGCAGUUGUCAGCGUGCGCUGUGCUCUGCAACAGGUGUAGGCAGCUGAACGAGGUUACCGUGCCGGGACGUGGCCACUCACCUGUGUUGCCGGACGUGCGCUGCCGCUGCAGCACUCCCUCGUAGGCUUGGAAGGAGCCCUGUGGGGUUCAGGGGCAGAGGAACAUGGCGAGGGGCUGCAGCUGAAGCCUGGCCGAGGCUGCUGGCGAGUGUGGCAGGCGAUGACUCUGAAGCACUGCAAAGCCUCUUACGCAACACCACGAGUAAGGGAUGCAUGCACCGCCGGUGCCAGAGCUGUUUAGGCACACAUGACGUGUGCACGCACCCCGGCUGUGGCCACGCGCGCGGUGUUGGUGUUGUCUCGUGUCACGGAGGGGAACUGGUUUAUCAUGGUGGUGAAGCGCAGGUUGUCCAACGACUGCGGCAUCACCGUGGGAACGGGACGGCGGGAACAGGUGGAUGAGUUGCGGCAAUGUUUACCGCAAACGUGUGCGCAUGUACGUGCAAAUCAGCUGCAAGCGCGCGAGGCCCCACGCUAAGGUACGGUACCAAGCAUGGCUAAGCGCACAGCACCUGCGCCCCCAGCGACAGCCCAGCGAGCACGGGGCUGUUGCCGAACUGAAACAGCAGGUCGUAUGUGUACGGCACCACGAUUGUGGUGGCGGCGGCGGCGGCAGCCGCCGCAACCGAGCCUGCAAGCAUGCAGAUUGCAAGGAGGCCAGGUCACGUAAGGGCGCACUAUCAAGGAAGGCUCCAUGAUGUACAGGCUCGCCUUACACACAGCAGCAACAUCUGCCGCCGUACGCACAUCACCACGCACUCGCAUGCACGCACACUGACCGGGCGGGGGAAUGGGCGCCACCUGCUGGCAACUAACGGAGUUGUUGGCGCUGCGCACCAGACUGAAGAAGUUCAGGCACUGCGGCUCGGCGCAGGCGUCCAGACCGCUCAGCGUGGAGCAGUCAAACUGCAGAGCGUAUGCACGUAUGCGUCAGGGCGGGAGGUUGGGGGCAAUCAUCUGACAUCCAAUCGGUGUGGGAUCAGGGGGUAGAGCGGUCGGUCAAAUUACAUGCACGGCACGCAUCGCGAGCGGCCGGCAGCUAUGUGGCGGCACUCGGGCACACUCACCCCAAAGUCCUGGAUGGGCACAAUGACGGAGAUGGGCAAGUUACGCGCGCCGCGCCCGGCCAGUCCAAUGGUAACUUGCAGCAGCACUCGGCCGCUUCCCACAUCGUAGUCUGCACCCCCGGCAGCAACACCAUCCAGGUUCACGGGCUCCACGCUGACGCGGCCCUCACUGGGCUCAGUUGCAUGUGCUGCGGACGCAUUCGUAGCUGGCACCAACUGCACCGGCGUGAACUGCACAGCUGUCCGGGCAAAGGCAUCCCGCUGGCGGAGGGCGUCAGGAGCUACUGCUGCUGCUACCCCGGGAGCGCUCCUAGCGCGUGCACCGCCACACCAUGGCAACGGCGCAACGUGCCUGCUGUCUGGUUCGCCCGUCGUAAGGUUUUCCGACUCAUCCGCAGCCAGCAAGUCGUUCUGGCUACUGCCGCUGCGGCCAUCCGGACGGCUAGGCACAUAACGCAUGACGGGCUGUAGCAGCACGUGCUCCAGCACUCGGCGGUGGCUGUAGCCCUGGGUCCCUGCGGGCGCUGAGGCUGCUACUGCCGCCGCCCAGCAGGCCUCAUCCUCCACCCCGCACCUCCAGUGUCGCCGCCGUGGCGGCUGUGCUGAGGGCCCUGCAGCCGCAACGGUCGCGCCCGUGCUGCCAUCCGCUCUACCAGCCGAUUGCGCGUCACCAUCGGCUGUAGCACCUUGCACCUGAUCCUGCACCAAGGCGUGCUCCGGCGGCAGUAGCUGCUGUGCUGACGAGGGUGGCGGCGGUGGCGGCGGCUCCUCCAGUGCCACGGCGUCCAGCCCCCAGCACAGCUCCUCAUCGACCUCGUCUGCAUCCGCGCCGUAGUCCCAGUGGUGCGGCAUGCCGCAGACCGUAAGGGACUGCAGCGACUGCUGCAGCUGAGCAGCAGCAGCCGCAGCCGCUGCAGCGUCUCCAGCUGCUACAGCCUCGCCGCCGCCUGUUGCUACAGCCUUCGCAUGCUCCUGCAUCAGCAGCUGCACCACAUGCUGGUCGUACUCAUCCAGUUCUUCAAACCACACUGCGUCCUCGAAAGGUAUGUUGGCAAGUGUGGGCACGGCGUGGUGCUGGUGACGCUGCGGCAGCGGCGUAGCGGCUGCUGCGGCAUCGUGCACUGGCGAGCCUGCCACGUGGCGGCUUGUGGUCGCAUCGAAUGCCCCAUGCUCACUGCCGCCUCUAAGCAGCGCUGCAGCGACCAGGCGCCCGUGACUAUUCUGGGGGAGGAGGAGAAGCGCCGCAAGUAGCAGCGACAAAGCUUCACGGCUCCGCCGCGUGCAGCUAGUCCGCGACGUCACGUUUCGAAAUAUCGUCAUUGGCACAUUGCUAAAACGGUUAUCACGGGGGCGCGACUGGACGCACACGCUGUUUUUAUUUGUUGAGGAUGGAACCAAGUAAGGCCCGGGUUCGUGCCAUCCAAGAGCGGAGGGCCUCCUGCCCAAACUUAUGGGAGAAGACGCAUACGAUAUUUACAGGCAUACCAUACAUUAUAUGAAUGCAUCACCAGAUGCGACGUCAAGAAUCCACUUCCCAAUGUCAAAGCCGGCCACGGAGGACCCUCAGCCUGGUGUUGCUGGUCUUCAGCGCGGGGGGCCUAAGUCCCGGCUGGCGCCAGGGGGCUGGCUGUCCAGGGCCUGGCGCAUUUGCAACGGCAGCAGGAAAAGAGCGCACGGCACGGGCAUUAGGGAUGCACGCUACUGAGCCGGAGCCUUGGCUGCGCCCGGCGGCAGGGUGUCCUCGCACCCUGGAUCCCGCGAUGCCCAUGCAGAAACCCGGCGAGCCUGCUGCUGCUACUGCUGCUGGCGGCUCGGUUAGGCAGCAGCAGGGUAGCGCACACACAAGGGCUUUGGAUCGGCUGCAAGAGUUGCUUACCAGAUGGGUGCAGCAUUCAAAGCAGGACACGGCUGCCGAAGCCUUCACACCCCAGCCCGGCCGCGAGCCCACGACCGCGGGAUCAAAUCCAGUAGCAGUACAGGACUUACUGCCGGGGCACCCUAUGCGCCGCACCCUGCAACAAGUUCAGCAAGUACAGCAGCCAGGGCAGGGCCUGGCAUUGCCCGGGUCCCUGCUGUCCAGCCUAGCAGACUCAUACGGUCUGGGCGGUGUGGGUUCAGGCGGACUGGCUACCUCAGUCAGCGCCACGCCCGCAGCAACUGUUGCUGCGCCCGCUCCGGCGACACACCAGCAAGGGAUAGCAGGGGAUGGGUCUGACAUCGUGCUAGGGGGGUUAGAUCCUAGCACGUUUGCCGGAGGCGCGGCAGGCAGCACCGGCACUGGCGGCGACGCUACGAGGAGUGUUGGCGGCAACAGUGGGAGCAGUGGCGCGAGCAGUGAUGGGAGCAGCGAUGGGAGCAGCGAUGGGAGCAGCGAUGGGAGCAGCGAUGGGAGCAGCAGUGAAGCCGGACCCAUCCUCAUGUUCGGUGACGCUGCGCCGCAGCCGACAUCCCCCUCUUCCCCAGCCGCCGGCAGCGCUGGCCAGGCCAGCCUGUGGGGCGGCUCUGCUGGCGCUGCAGCGACGCCAUCGGUUCCUGCGCCCCUGCUGGUAUGGCAGAGGCAGAAGGGUGACCACAGCAGCACCGGCGGCGCCGGAGACGUCAGCAGCCCGGCUACCGGCGGCACUGCGGUGGUGCUCCGCACGCCGUCCCGCUUCGGGCCGACAGGCUUGCCCUCCGUCAGUGCCGCCACCACACCUGCUGCCCAGGUGGCCCUGUCGCCGAGUAUCACACUGGGCAGCACCCCAUUGCACGCUUCCAACUCUUCUACCGGAGGCAACGGCACUUUGCAGGCAACUGCCAUCAACGUGCCCAUGCAUGUGCUGCAUGACCAGCAGCUGUACGACGCGGACUACAUCGUGCCGGACCUGGAGGACGAUCCGUACGGCCGCAAUCCGCUGUUCGAUCCGCUGUACCGGGCGGGUAUGGACGAGCUGCAGUGCGCGGAGGCGGGGGCUGGCCGACCGGGAUCGGGAGUUGCAGGGCUGCGGGGCUCCGGGGUAGGCACGCUGGCUGGCGAGGGGUUGCCGGGGCUGUGCCUGGCACCACACGCACCCAUGGUGGCACAGCUGGCACAGCCCUUGUACGACGACGACUAUACACAGGUGUGUGUGCGGACUGCCGAGCGCGGGGACACGGACGUUGCGACCACGCCCUAUUGUUCGUUUUCAUACAUGCUGGCCGUGUACACUACAAGUGACCAGGGUGCGGGUGCCCUCUCAAUCGCAGCACCCAUCCGCGGCGCUCGGGCAUGCAAUCCCCUCACCCACACGCCUCAACGGCCACGCCCAUCCCCGCUCUCGUGGACGCGGUAUUGCAGGAUUUUGGCACCGCCGUACACGGCACGCCGACGGCGGUGUACGGGCCCGCGGGUCUGCAGCUGGAUGCGCUGCGUGUGGCCACCCUGCAGGCCGCGCAGUUCGAACCGGGCACGUGGAGUGUGACGCCGGCGGCGGCGGGCAGCGCUACACCUGGCGACGGUCUCGGCUGGCGCCUUGGAAGGGGCAACGGCACCAUUGGUGGCGGCUUCGGGAAUGGCGGUUUUGGUGGCGGCAUUGGCAACAACAACGGCACGGGAGGUGGAGGCGGAGGUGUGAACCCGUACGAGGCGGCCCUGGGCCCCUACGUGCCGUACACCGACCGCGUGCUGUUCUCACCCAUCGCCAGCCUGAUUGGUGCGUCGCAGCCCCUGCACCGGCAUGGGGGAGGAAUACCAUGUACAUUACGGGAGCAACUGGGCAAUUGCGGUGCGCCCGGCGCACACCGCUGACGCGCCGACAGCACCACAGCGACUGUGCUCGUGUUCAUUCAGUUGCCGCACACGCCGGUGCUGUACAGGUGUGCCGUACCCGGUGUCCAUCUACGCGGGCGAGCUGUACAUUGCGGAGGCGGACCCGCUGCUGACGGCGGCGGGGGAGGCUGCGCGUGCGGGCCUGCUCGUUGACUACUACCUUGAGAGGUGCUGCCGGGGAGUGGCGGGGAGAAUAGAACUGUAAUAUUUAGAACUGUAAUCAGAAGGGGAGGUCAGCGGGGAGGCCGUGCAUCAGGGUAAGUAUGGUUCAUGGGUGGUGGAGUGAUGAGGUGCAACGCCAUCGCCGGACCUGCGCCCGGCCCAACAGGAACUACUACACGCCCUUCACGUUCACGCGGGUGGGGCCAAGUGUGUUGGCGCUCACAGCCAGCACCGCGCGCUCACGCGGCCAGGUAGGCAAGUGUAUGGCCAGGGCGCGGCGGCGCGGUGGCAAGUUGGGCAGGCACCCAGGCGGGCCGCGGUCAGCCAGCCAGGCGGGCCGGCGGGCCGGCGGGCAGGCAGACAGGCGGACAGGCAGUCACAGGCGGGCAGGCGGGCAGAUCAAUGUUACUUAACGGACUCGAAAGAAGCAGUGGGCUGUGCACCGAUUCGCAAACCUGGUACUGCUGCGGGUGCCGCUGCUCAUCCUUGCGCUGUCCUGCACGCACGAGACUCCUGACCUGCACCCCUCCCCCACCGCCUGGCACUCCCUUCUCCCGCCAUCCCGCAGAUCGGCGUGGCGGCCAAGGCGCGCGCGCUGGCUCAGGCGCUGUACAGCUACCAGCGCUCGCGCUACCUGGCCAAUAGCGUGGAGGUGGCGCUGGGCUCGCGCGGCUUUGCGGGCGCCUCGCUGGGCGCCUACCUAUUCAACAACCCGCUCGUCAACAACCAGUUCCUGCUGCAGGGCCCCGACCUGGCGCCCUAGGGCGGCUUUUCGGGGCAUGUCGUGUGCAAAGCUGGCGUGUGCGGCGUGGCCUGUGCAUGCGUGCACGCAGGCGGGAAAUCGCCGAAUUGGCAGUGCGUGGUUGUAAGCUGGCAUACGGUAUGCAGGUUCGGCUGUUGCGAUGGACACGUUUCUGGAGUCGCGUGGCGUGCACGUGCGGUUGGCCGGGGUUGCUUGAGGAGCUGGGAUUGCGAUUCCGCAUUUAAGAAGCGGGAAGCACAUGGGCGGUGCACGAGCAGGGAUACGACGUGAUCAGUUUCACAGACUGGCAGAAAUCCUACUCGUCAACCGACUACGACAAUAAGCUAUAUGCCCCACCCCGGCGUGCUCUUCCUUCGUCGGCAUUGAUGUCACCUUGCGGUCCGGUGUGAGGCCGCAUGUGGUUCUAGAGGUUCACCUUACACGAGUGCAUGCGGGUAUAAUGGAGCAGAAGUAUGCCAGCUCAGACCCACACGCUCAGAUCCAAACUCGCAACAGUAACCAUCGUACUCGAGCUCCUCUAUUCUGCAUGCGAAGCCAGAGCUGGUGUUGCCCUGUGCGGGCCUGGUCCACUUGUGUGUUCACGCCUCGCCUCAGCUCGCUCACCACCGAUGCACGUACACCAGACAUUUCUUUUGGGUUGUGUAGACCAGCCGCUCAGCAUUGUAAUCUGGGGCAACCUGCCGCACGUGCGCCACAACAGUGACGACUCUCGUGGCUCUCAAUCAAGGAAAGCUAACCUCUACGCGCCAUCACAUAAGCAUGGGGCCACGGGCACCCCUCGCGCCGCUGCACACUGAGCGGUAGCAUACUUCGCGCAACGCACCACAUGCAGACAAAACGUGUUCCUCGCCCCCAGCGGUGCUCUGCCUGGCGCACCCCACAGCGCAGCAAAAUUGAGGGCCCAGUGCCACAUAACUGUUGCUUGUGUAGCUAGCAUCUGCCGUACGCACAUGCGCACAACUCGCAUCGCGCCCCAAACAUGACGCAUGCGGCUGCAGCAGGCGGCGGCUCCUCCGGGCGCGUUGUCAAUGCAACCGUGUUAUUUUGCACCCCUUCAACAUGCUCCCAAGACCAAGUCAAACAUCACGCCUGACAACUACUCGUUACACAACUCUCGACCAGACCAGAAAAGCUGCCGGGGCAAGAUCGCUUGCUUCGUUGCCACUACCACGGUUGACAGAGGCUGCAUGUCACUGUUCCCUGUGCCGCACCCGCAACGUCACCCCGGAGCCCCGAGAACCCACCAGGCGCCAAUGAAAUCACCAGCUGUGUUUCGCAGUCUCGCAAACCUCGCGCAUUCGCGCCAUUGUGUGACCUGCUGGCCACUCGCCAGAAGCUGUGCUCCUCCAAUCUCAUGUAUCGUAGCCAUCCCGCGUUCGCCGUCUGACGCCACCCGCCUAUGUGCUAGCCGUUGCCGCCGCUGCCGGCGCUGCUGCUGGCGACGGUAUGCCCUGCGGGUUGAUCUUAACGGGCAUGCCGGGCGCGACGCUCACCUCCACCGCGUGCUGAGACGGCACGUUGAUGGACAGAUGCGCGCUGGCGCCCCCGUGACUAGCACCGUUGGUGUGCCCGUUUGACGCGUGCCCGUUGGUGUAGCUGCCAUUGGUGUGCCCGUUGGCGCCGUUCCCGUUCACACCGUUAGCGCUGGUGCCGUUGGUGUGAGGGGUGACCGUCACGCCAGCCUUGCGCACGCGCCGCACGCCAGGGCGGUUGAGCGACGCAUUAGAGGACGAAUCCCGAGAGGGCGAGGGCAGCCGCGCCGCGAGAGACUCCAGCGCCACAGCUUGCUCUGGCGAGUCCGCGGCUGAAUCCGACGCCGAUGCGGAGCUGGGGCGCUGCGCACCGCGUGGGCUGCUGUGCGCUGCCGCCUGGCGCGUCUUGCCCGCGCCGCCCGCCGCCGUACCUGCCGCUCCGGGCCCAAAGAUGGAGCCCGCCUGCUGCGACUGCGCUUGGUGCUGCUGGAACAGGCCCCCCGCGGAGACGGCGCCGCUGCCCGGCCCCAUGCCGUUGACACUGGGGCUGCGUCCCGCGGCCGAGCCGCCGGCAGGCGGGCCGCCGACCGCGCCAGCAGGCGGGCCGCCGCCCGGUGGCGGCGUGCCGGAGCCGGUCAUCAUGCCUAGCCGGAUGUUGCGCUGCUGCGCCUCCACGCCUGGCAGCCCCCGGCCCAGCGCCGCACCGCGGCCCAUCAUGCGUGCACUGGACACGCCCAUGCCCGCUGCAGCCGCCGCGGCCACCUCCGCGGCGUUGCCGCCCACCGGCACGCCGGCUGACAUGUGGCCCACGCCCGCGCCGUUGCUGUCGCCGGCGCCCGAGGCGCCACUUCCACCCGCGCCGCCGGCAUUCGGCGCCGAGGUGGCCGCGGACGCGGCGGCGGCCUCCGCCGCCUGGCGGCGGCGCUUGAGCCACCGCGCCACCUCCACCGCGAACACGGUGAUGGCGCCGUUGGCGUAGUCCAUGUCCAUCCACACCUUCAUGCGCUGCAGCGUGGCCGACACCGCCAGGCCGGUGGUGAAGUCGGCGCGGUACUGCCCGCCCGCCGGGUCCACGCCCUCGCCGUCGCUCACGUCGCUGUCGCUACCCCAGCUGUCGCCCAUGCCCACGCCCAUGCCGGCGGCGGGCACGCCCGCGGCCAUCAUGGCGGCCACGUCCUCGCGGGCCCACAGGCCGCGCGCGGCAGCGGCGGCUUCGCCGUCGCCGUCGGCCGCCGCCGCCAUGACGGCCUCCAGCUCGUCCAGGUCGCUGGCGGCGGUGCCGGCGUGGCGGCUGGCCUCAACGUCAGAGCCGUCAGAGGCGGCGUCCGCGGCGUUGCGGCGGAGCGACAGCGCGGCGGCAGCGGCCGCCGCGGCGGCGGCGGGAGAGCCGUUCACGGCGCGGCGAGCGCGGGAGCGGCGGUACUCGUUGCGGCGCUGCAGCUUUGACCGCUCCUCGGGCGUCAUCUGCGGAAGGGAAGUGGGGUGGCCGGGUUGGGGUUUGCAGAUGAGGAAUCGUUGGCGGGUGACUCACAUUCCUAUGACCGUCUCUCUGUCUCCGGCAUCCUACUGUCUUACGUCUUGUCUCUUUAUCACAAUCGCCCACUGCUUUUGUGUUUCAUGCACCUUGCCCGCUGACCUUUCGUCCCAUCACCCGCUGCCCGAUUCCUCACCCCCCUGCGCCACCGACCGCGCCACUGCCUGCACCGCACUCACGUGGUCGGUGUAGCGGUUCAUGAUGCGUUCCAGGUAGCUGGGCCACUUGACCAGGUCGGGGUUGAAAGGCGGCACCAGCAGCGUGAUGCUGUGGUGGUAGUUGUCCUUAACGCGCGGCCGCGCCGCGCCCGCCAGCGCCGCCAGGCCGCGGUCCGCCAUGCUCAUGCGGUCCGUCACGCCCGCCGCCUUGUCCAGGUCCAUGCCCGCCAGCGCCGCCUUCUUGGCAGCUGCCUCCGCCUCCGCCGCCUUGCGCUUCGCGCGCCGGUCCAGCGUCUGCAGGAUAUGCAGCACGUACACCUCAGCCACCACGGGCGGCAGCCGCCGCAUGUCCAUCACCAGCGGGGCGUCAGGGUCGAACUUGGGCAGCAGGCCACGGCCAAUGGCCUCCUCCAGCACGGCAAAAGCGCGCGGCUCGAAGGCGCACUCGAAUACCGCGUUGCGCGGGCGCAGCGGCACAAAGGGCGAGGCGGCGAAGCCCGCCGCGGCGGCGGCGGCCAUGGCGCCCGAGACGCCCGGCACGCCCGGGACGGUGGAGUCGUCGGGCGGCAGCAUCUUGGCGCGCAUGCAGUUCAGCAAGCUGAGCGGCGGGGGGCAAGGAUGGAAGGAAGGAGAGAUGAAUUGGUGAUGUGCAGAUGCAAGUGCCAGUGACUGGUUACCAGGAGCCGUUGUUGCCCAGGCUGGUCCAGAGCGCUGCAUCACAUUAAACUCUUUACUGGCGUGCGUGCCUGCACAACCCACUUUCCAGUUCCUCAUUCACCGAGUUCCGUUCUCCGCAUUGCUCCCCCCUCGUUUCCCCUCUCCCAGCUGCUGCACUCACACGUCCAGCAGCUCUAGCGAGGGCCGAUGCCCGCGGCCCAGCAUGUGGUGGAAGGCGCUCAGCGCAUGGCUGGCCCAGUCGAUGGUGUCGGGCGGCCCAUCGAACGGGUUGGACUGAUGCGCGCCACGCCGCAGCUUGUGCCCACCCAGAGCCGCCAGCACCUUCUCCGCCUCCAUCUUGCGCUGCGCGGGGAUGCCCGUGCUGUAGGGCGACGCGUGCGGGUGGUGUGAUGAGGAGGGCGAGGACGAGGCGUGGUGGUGGCCGCUGGUGCUGGCGCCGCCGUUAACGGAGGAGGCGGCGCCGGACGCGGAUGCGGGGCCCUGCGGCGGGUAGCCGCCUGACAACCACAGGUAGCGCGUCUGCGCGGAAGGGAACACGCGAAACCGACGCUGCCAUCAGAAAGGCGCACUCCGAUGACAAUGGUAUGCGCAUCACUCCAUAAUUCUUUGCACGUGUAGAGAGCAGCCCAACAACCGCCCAACUGGCCCGCCCUUUUGCUCCAGAACCAGCUGCGGUGGCGUAAUGACCUUUGCCCCAACGAGCUGCUCGCUCUCCGGCGCACCUGGUUGUAGCAAGCCUUGAUGAGCAUGUAGUAGAUGGUCUGCGCGAACUUGCCCUGUAGGAUGUGCACCUUGUUGGCGUGCAUCAGCGCAAACACCUGGAAGGCCAGGCCCGCCUGGUCCGUGACCUCGCAGGCGUUGAUGAUGAUGCGGUAGGUGUUGAGGUUGGGCUGCCGGCCCGCCGCCACCAUGUCACACAGCAGGCUCACCACCUCCCCAAACCUGUCGUGGUGCGUGACGCAGUUUGAGAGGGAAGGAUUCAGUGCGGUUGCUGGGUUGCUGGGACGUAACUUGUUUGGCUGCUGCGAUGCAUCCCUACCGUUCUUUGGUCGCAGCCCAUCUGCCUCAUGUCCAUUCCUCAUUCAUUCCCACAUCCUGCCUUCUGGGCGAACGCUGGGCCAGUUCGCAGCUCGCGUUCAAGCCGGGCCGCUCGUCGUCACUCAAGCGGCAUACCCACCCAGUGGUGAUCGGCAUGCGGGCCGAAUUCAUGUGCCCGAGUCUGUCUCCCUGCCCUCUGCGUGCCAACCGUCCUGUGCCGGUUGCACCCACUUGCUAUCCCACUUCAAACAUCCCGCUACACCCACUUGCUAUCCCACUUCAAACAUCCCGCUACACCCUUCCCUCCCAAUCACGACCCGCCAUCGUUCAUCCGCCGGUUUCUCCGCGACCCAGCCUGCCAGCCUCCCACCAGCCUGCCAUCCGCCCGCCUCGCCCCCUGCCUCGCACUCCCCACCUGAACUCGCUGGCGUACACGUCCAUCAUGCGGUUGAACUGGCUGGGCACCGGGUACACGCUCUGCUUGGCGCACAGGUCGUACACACGCCGGGCCAGAGCCACGUUGCCCUGCAGGUUCGGAUGGGGUUGCGCAGACGGGUAAGCGGGGAGAGCAGGGGGUCCAGAAACGGGGGCGUGAGGAACGUGUGUCGUAUACUGUUUCUCUCCUUCGUUGCUUGCAUGCAGCGCUCCCUUCGCCUGCUUGGUUCAUAUCUUCUGCCACUUCGGAGCAUGGCCUAUGCGGUACUGAAAAGAUGCCCCCUAGAAAUGCCUGCCUACACCCAUAUCCUGUCCUCCUAUCGAAGGCCUUGUGCACCCUUCUCCUUACGGCUACACACCAAUGUCGGCUCGCGCGCUGCGUUGCAAGGCCGCCUCCGCCCGUUUUCGCACUCCCUCCUGCCCAGCCACCACGCCCAUCGCCCCCUGUCAUCCGCUGCCGGCCCACCUGGUCCAGGCAGGCGUGGAUGAUGCCCGACACGCUGGUGCUGCUGGGCCGGAUGCCCUCCGCCGCCAUCUCCGUCAGCAGCUCAAACACCACCUCCAUCCGCCCGCAGCGGCCCGCCACCGCCAUGAAGCAGGCAAAGAACUUCUUGUCUGGCCGCACGCUGGUGCAGCGCUGCAGCGCGCUGUAGAUGGCCUGCGCGCGGUCCCAGGCCCCCGGGAAGGGCAGCAUGCACGCCGACAGCGCCUGCGUGUACAGCUUCACCUCCGACUCGAAGCCCUGUUGGGUCAGCAGCAGGCGCACAACACCGGGGGGGGGGAGGGCAGCGUGUAAGCGCGUCAUGCAGACAGGGGUAGCCGGCCAGGGCGGCCCCAGCGCAGGUGGCCUCAACAACCCAUAGUGCCCGCAUCCGCCAAGCUUUCACUUCUGGAUAUCCCAAACGCAAACAGCGGUCCCCUAGCCCGCAUCCACGCUUGCACCCACGCCCACACCCAGGGCCCACCUUGUGCAAGGCCACCUCGAACACGCGCAACGCCUUCUCCGGCUGCCGCGCGCACACGCACGACUCGAUGAGCGAGCCGUAGGUGGUGGCUGAGGCGCCAAUGCCGCGCUGCUGCAUCAUGGUCAGCACCUCAAAGGCGCGGUUGAGCUCGCCGGAGCGGCCGGCGCACACCAUGAGCGAGUUCCACACGGGCGCCUGCAGCGUCACGCCCGCCGCCUCCGCGUCCGCCACGUACUGGAACGCGCGCUCCAGCAGCACAUACCUGGGCAGGUGGCGGGAGGCAGGGUUGUACAGGGUCAGGAGGGGUAGGCGACGAGGCGUGCAUGCAAGAACAGGAGCAGGGGCGGCCAUCCCGGUCCACUUGGUCACCUAAGGCAAUGUCGCUGAGAGUGAGUACCCUGUCCCGUCAUGCCGCCAUUUCGACCUCCACCCGCCCUUAACCCCUUAAGACCCCACUCACUGGUCCUUGCGCUCAUGCACCACGGUCAGAUCGCGCUUCAUGGCCUCCGCGCACGUGGCGAUGAGUGCGCCGUACACAUGGCUGUCGAUGCGCAGCUGCGCAGCGCGCAUCUCCAGGUACACGCGGUACGCUUUGUCCACGUUGCCCACCGCCUUGCACACUGCGUGCGCGUGUGGGGAGAUCGAGUGACACGAGUUGGGGUGGAUUGAAUUGGGGAUAGCGAGGGCUUAUGGCGGGGAUUGUACCCGGCCCAAGCAUGGUGCUAGGGUCGGAGAUAGGGGCUACAGCGAUCGUCGUUUCGACCGCCCCGCAUCGCACGCAUGCAACACGACUGUCCGUGGCCGCUUCCAUUGUGCGCGACAGCCUUUCCAGAGAAGCUACUUCUGCUAUUGCCCCUCAAGAAGGGCCAUCAGUAAGGAGGCACCAUCUACAGGGAGGAACCAUGCACGAAACGCAGGCGUGCCGCCCGGAAUUGAUUCGCGCUACAACCGGCACUGACACUCCCCCGCCCGAAUCCGGCGUGUCCCGCCCUCACCCUUGAUAAGCGUAGUCAUCAUCUGUACGUCUACCGUCACGCCGCUCUUUCGCGCCAGCUCCACCACCGUCAUGCCCGCAUCCAGGUCGCGGCACCGCGCGCACGCCUUCAGCACCGCCAUGAACAGCGCCGCUGGCUUCGACACGUAGGGUGCCGCAAUCUUCGCAAACACGACCGCUGGCUUAGCCUUCAUGGUCAAACAGACCUCCUCGAUGAAGGACGAGUAGUGCCACCUGUCGAGAAGGGUCAAAACAACGUCACACGACUGUUACAUGUCGAUUUCCGUGGGCCCCUUCGCACUGGACAGCUCAAUUCUCACCUCUUGCACACCACCUCGAGCAUGGGUUUGUUCAGCUCCUGCAGUAGCCGAAGCAGCGUGUCGAAUUCGCCCCGCUUUGAGAGCCCAGAGAGCGUAGCCAUAAUGGUGUUUGGCCCCUUGCCCUUGAUAUGGGCCAGCACGCUGUCAAGCGACGAGCUGCUGUCGCUCGUAGAAGCUGGAAGGUUGCGAGCCUCAGCGCUCCAGACGCUGGAGCUGCUGCCGAGCACUUCUGCACUGAAGUCCUCGAGCUGCCGCUGCGAGAGGGGCGUGCUUUGCUGGUAUGGUCCCUCAUUUCCCUCAUUCAACACUUGCUGCUUAGGCCUGAUGGUGCGCUGCGCCUGGGGAGCAGCGCGACCUGGUGUCUCGACUAGGGUACUCGCGCCCGAUACUUGCGGCGGCGGUGCGAAGCGAGAAUAGCGAGCCCUGGUCGCUGGAACCUCAUCUGAAGGAGCAGGCUCUACGUCCUCAAGCCUUGGUGCAGACACGCGGACGACGCACGGCCUGCAGGGCGCGUGCAAGCUGCUUGCUUCAAAUAACGCUGACAAUUGCAGUCCACGUCGCCUGCCCGCUUGCCCACAGGCGUCCAUCCUUACGACGGUGCCGUUGAAGGCCUCUAAUAUUGAUCUACCGCACCUUCGCGUCAGCACCUCGCGCGUUGGGCACCGCGCGCCUAGUGCUGGGGCUCCUGCCUGCCUAUUGAUCAUGUUUCCUACACGCUGGCCACCCGGCCAGCCCUAGAAAUGUGCCAACGUGUUAUGGGAAACGUCAAGGCAACAAGGUAGAGUUGAGGGAAACAAACAAGCCGAAUGCCCACUAUGAUACGUAGUCGCCCGAGUGCUAAUUAGCCUAAGGAAUAAUGCUAAUGAGCGUGCAGGCAAUGGAGGUGUGCUCAGCGUGGUUCGCGGGUGUCGGGACGGGGUCUUAUCUUUGUCUAUCAUCCGAGUGCAGCGAGCAAGGACGUUUGCACCCGCCUUCAGUCCAGCCUUUCACAUCCAUACUGUGCUUACAACAAUUUCAACUUGCAGAAAAUAACUGCAUAGCCUGUCCGCUGUCGGGCAAAAGUCACGACGACUGUGACACGGGCGCCGCGUCGACACUGCGCCCGAAAGGUCCUUUGAGCACGCCCGCUUGCAAUUGCUGCUACCAGAUAGCAUUUAAAAUUCAAUGACGUCCACCCACAUCCUGGCAUACUUGCUUUGCCAUUCUCCCGCCAUUCGGGAUAGCCUGGCAAGCGGGCGACGGGGCGGACCUUGGCAAACCCGUGUUGUAGGCUUCUCCUUGCGGCCAUGAUGUUAGGGGUCGAUUUGGGAUGUAAGGGGCACGGAAUGGGGCUGGUGCAUCACGUGCCAUGUGUACGAAUGUAUGUUGGGCCGUGUGUUGGGCCUGGAAGCCAGCAGCCCGUCGCCAUAUCCAAUGCAGCUGGAGUGGUGAGGGGUUUUAGAUAGCUGGCGGGCCGGCAUAGUCCAACCUCAGGGAGGGCAUCACGAGCUAGAGAGCGGCCGGGCGGGUGUUCCCAAUUCAUCAGACGUCCAGCUGCCUCUUCACGUGUUCGUGGCUUCGGGCGGUCCAGGCGGUCUUGCCUUGCGUGCUGAGGGUUGCGGGCUGCUGCUGAGGGUUUGCGCAGAAUCUACUUGCUGUGAAGGGUUGUGAUGGGUUCGGGUUGUGGUGUAGUGUGGCCGGCUGUGCCACGCGCCGUUGAUGGGGUGGGCGAGUCUAACCUAGAAGGUUGUUCAGUGCCGGUUCGGUUUUCGCAGUGGUUUCGAAGUGCUCCUGCCAGUAUCCUCUUUCUUUGCGUGCCUGUUAGUGGGUUGACUAGGUAACUGGAUGGCGGGGUGAGUCGGCUGGUUCGCCGUUGUGGCCUGUGGUGACUGCAUGAACUCAUGCACGCCAGCGCUUGAAAGCCCAGCGCAUAUGUGCUGACAUUUGGGCACUUGUGCCGACAUGUCCACGCAAGGACGCGCAAGUAAGCUACCCCACACUCUGUUUGUGCUUGUUAUGGAUUAACGUGCAUAUUCGAAACUCGUGGGGCUGCGUUUGGCCCCUAGUUCUGCUCGUGGGGCGCUUCCCCAAACCCGCCAGGAUGGACAGCACCAUCUCCUAGCGCCCAUGACUUUUAAGACUGCACAUAUACAGCCAUUGGGUGAUACGUAAGAUCGCGGUCAUGAUUGCUGCGGGGUCCGGCACCGGGCCGACAUUACUUGCGUACGGCAUGGUGGGGCAUGUCGGGGCAUGUCGGCUAGGUAGUGCUAGGGGAGCUGACUGUUUGCUAGACCUACUUCGACUCUCGUUUCCUCGCAUACUCCGCCUAGAAAUCUACAGGCGCUUGAGCCUUAGCACCUAAACUUCUACUUCUCAUGAGGUUAGCCGAGUUGUUUGGAAGUUUGGGCUGAAAUGCCCCUGCAACCCUGACUUUGCUUUCCGCUGCCCGCAUGUACCUCCAGUACGAAGGAGGAGAAGCCGACACUUGCGUAAGUCCAAUGAGCGACCAUUAGAAAGCAGCCGGAAGGAAAACUUGACAAGAUCGCUCCAUUUCUCCUUGCAGUGGCGUUAACGUCAAGACCCGCAAGCGGAACAUCGUUAUCCCUGAGGAUCCGGGCUCGUUUGCCGAUGCGAUCGUGACGCUGUGCCAGGACGCGGCGUCAGAUGACGGUUCGGCCGGCCUCGAGGCGGACCUCGAGGCGGCCGCUAAGGCGCUCGACGGCGCGGAGCUAGAGUACUCCCGCUAUGGCGAUGUGCUCUUCCAGGUCUUUUUCGCGGGUGGCCGCUUGGGAACGGGCGCGCAGCUGGCGGCGGAGGACAAGAUGCGCCUCGCGACCAACGUAAGCGCAUUCACAUUCUGAGGGCAGAGGAUUCCGGGGAAACCUUACUCACGCGACGGGGGCUUGCGAAUUGCAGAUUCUGGCCGCUGAGGCAACCCGGGAAGCCAUCAACCCCUACUUCAAGCUGUUCCAGACGCUCACGCGGUAAGAAGAAAUUACCAGUGUCAGAGGCUCUUGGCUAUGCAUAUUGAAAGACGUGUGCGAGAAGCGAGUUUGACUCUCAGGGUUUUGGCACGCCACGGCUCCGAGCCAGCCAGACGUGCUGUGCGUCCUGCGGUGCCUUACCAUUCCUCUGCUGCGUUCUGCUGUUGCUCGCCAGCCGCCGCCCCUUCCUGAUCCGCGGCCUGGAGAACACGCUGGUGAAGCUGAUGCUGUCGCUGGAGUUCUUCGACGACGUCGGCCGCAAGAAGCUGGGGAUUGGUGAGCAGUAGCACGGUUGCCUGCGAGGGUGAUAAAAGCACAGAAGCCCCGGAACCAGGGUCCAGUGUUAUGCGAGCUAGUAUUAGAACAACGCAUUGCGUGUGCCUUAUGGGGUUCAGCGGACCCAGCAUCUGAGGCGCCAACCGGCAGGAGGACCGCAGCAGGGAGAGCUCGCCACGCCGCGGCGAUGGCAGCAUCAACGGCGAUCAGCACCACAUGUUUGAAGCGGCACCACGUCUGCCUAGCCUAGCCUCUCUCUGGCGGGUCCUAGGUGUGGCGCAGCUUUCGCAGCAGCCUGCUGAGGUACAGGGCCAGGCGCCGGCGGCCUCCGCGGAGGCGACAGCAAGCCGGCAAAGGCCUGCGGCCAAGCAUUUUCUGAGCAGAAGAUUAGAAGGGUUUGCGCUCGGUGUACACGCGGGGCCGUGACACCAGACUGCGUUCGCAAUAGAGGCACGGGCGGCAGGAGUGGGGGGUCGGUGGCCUGGUGGCAAGCUUGAAGGGCCCAAUGCGGGCGAAAACACGCGCCGGCACUGGUGUCACCUGUCCGGCUUGGCGUCCUUGGGCUUUCUGCCCGAGCUGGUGCCGCCGCAUACGGAGCUUGCAGGCCCAGGGGGCACUCGCACAGCCAGAGGCUUAGCGAACGCGAGCGUGGCGUUGGCGCCGAAGCCGUGCCUUUGACGUUCGCCACGGCGAUCCAGCGUGUCUGUGUUCGCGGGCGACCUACAGCGGACCGCCAUCAGUGAGCACACUGACGCUGGGAUCGAGCCGCAGCAAGUGCACGCUUUCGUUGGCGCUGGCAGCUGGGCUGCCAACAGAGCAGCAGCGCCAGCCCCAGCUCCAGCAGCGGGUCUUUCCGGGUUCAAUGCAGCCCCGGCAGCUUAGGGGAGCACGCUGAUACCGAGCACUCCCUUGAUUGCACUCGUCUCAGCCCAACGAACGACUGACGUGGCCCUUACAUGGCUGCCUCCACCGCUCUGCCUGCCCUGCCUCACAGCCCUGGCGCUGACGUUCUCGUGGAAGAUCGGCGUGGUGCCCGGCAACAUCUUCGCGGCGCUGCUGAAUGACCGCCUGGUGGCCAAGGGCACGGUCCUGGAGGUCAUGAUUGUGUUCUUCCAGGUGCGGGCGGGGGCAGGGCGGGCGGCAGGGUGGGCCGGAUACCGACCGGUAAUCCUGCCUGGCGGUGCUGUCAAACAUCCAGGCGGAUGGGUGGCCUAAGAAGCAUCACCCGCCAUCGCAUGGUCGUCAUCGCGCCCCCCCACACCCAACCGCCUUCCGCGUCCCUCCACCCCACCCGCAGGAGUUCCUGGCCAAGGACACCACGCUGGACGACCUGGUGUCCAUCCUGGCCAAGGCCAACAUCGCCAACCGCCUGAUGGACUUCGCGCCGCCCAACAAGCGCACGCCGCACGAGUAUCACCUGGUGCUCAAGGUGCGGCACGGGGCGGGACGGCACGCGUGCGGCUGUGGGUCGGGCGGGGUUCAAGCAGGCGCCGCAGCCUGCGGGCCAAACGAUACCGUAUGGCGCGCCGCUCGUCGGGAGGGUGGCGAGGUUGGCCAGCAAAUGCGCUGUUCCACGGCCCCGUCACUGCCUCCACAUGAUCUGACCUUGCAUCCUAUUUAUACUCGUGCGCUUGCAGGCCGCUGGCCUGAACUCGCUGGUGGAGUGGGACGUGCAGCGCGAGAUUGACUUGCGCGUCAGCGAGCUGCAGGACGCGCUGACGGAGGCCAUCGCCGCCGACCCGCCGCUGGCGGUGUCCGAGGUGCUCAACAUCGCCAAGUCCAAGAAGCAGGAGAGCAACCUGCCCGACGGCGAGGUGGGAAGGGGGGGGCACGGGUGGGGCGGGCACCAGGGGGCGCGUGGGCAAGUUGCGUGAGCGGUAGCUGCCACACAAAGCUUGGCUGGAUGUCUGUCCCUACUGUUGUCUGGCAUGAGAACGAGAGCGGGCAUUGACGGUCACACGCCUGGAUGAAUGGACGCAGGUGCUGCGCGUGUCGUGGCUGGCGCUGAUGAAGUCCAUCAACCUGACGGGCAAGAACCAGCAGCAGAUCACGCAGGCCCUGAUGCAGAAGCUCAAGUCGCACGGCAAGCUGUUUGCGACCUUCGCCACCAACGCCAAGGCGGAGCUGGCGCUGCUGAACACCAUCCAGGUGUGCCCGACAGCACUGGCAUCGGAGCAAGACCCGCAACGCGAUGCAUGGCAGCGGGGAUGUGCGUUUGCGUGUAAGGCUCCAGAAGCCCGCACCUCGCACCGCACCGGAAGCCUAGGACACCGCGCACUUUUCGGAGGCUGCGGCGGCGAUCGAACAAUGCACCGGCGCUGCUCACCCGCCCUGAUCACUCACAUCCUCUUUGUGUUCACAGGUGUUCUGCUACGAGGACACGCGCAUGCUCAAGUGCUUCACCGAUAUCAUGAAGCUGCUGUACAACGCGGAGAUUGUGGGCGAGGACACCAUCCAGCACUGGUACAAGAAGGGCAGCCACACCAAGGGACGCGCCGUGUUCCUGAAGGACAUCGAGCCCUUCAUGAAGUGGCUGGAGGAGGCGGAGGAGGACGACGAGUAGAGCGAGCGCGCCGACGUGCAGGCGGCCGCUAGGUGGCGUGGCGGCGGGCGGGUCCGGACAGGCGGCGUCCUGGGCCGCGGUACCUACGGGCAGCCCCUUACGGUGCACAGCAGUUGUUGAGAUAUCGGUCAGAACUAUCCAUAAGGGAGAACGUAGGGGAGUUCCGAGAGUGUGUGUGCGAUACACCAUGCAAGGACCUGACCCGGAACCCAUGCGAGGGUAUAAGCCAGAGAGCUACCCGUUAUAGUUAAGUAGUGUGGUACUAUGUAAUGUGCGAAACAGUCUGACUGUCAGCCGCCCCUACUUCCGGCUAGCGAUAGUCGUAAUCACCAUUCAACAGGUUAUGAGCCCCGCGUAGUUGCGGCGGGUUGCGCUUUGUCGAGUAAAGACAAGAUAACCGAUAGGCUGUAGGCCAGUGAGCGCAAAUGAACGAUGAGGGCGGAGUCUGUGGAAAGCCGAUUAUGCUCGAGCAAAGCACGGCCCACAUUUGGCUCUCCAAGUUAAGGAUUUAUCUUAACUGGAAGGAGCUGGGUCCGGCUAUCCGUGACGACGACGCGCCGGAGGCGAAGCAGCAGAAGGCGGUCGCCCUUAUCCUGAGCCAUGUGAGGCUGUCCGACCACUUCAUCUAUGAGGAGCUGCUAGAGACCCUGGAAGCGGAGAAGAAGGCCAACCCUACUGCCAAGCAGAACGAGGCGAAGCGCCUUGUGCAAGCGCUGAUGGCAUACUACAAGAAGCUGGCGGCUGGAAAUCACCGUCAGUGGGCAGCCGACCUGGGCAGCGUCAGGCUGGGAGGGAGCGAGCAGAUUAGCGAGCUCAUCCAGCGCAUUGCUGACAUGGUGGAGAGGCUGUGUUGGUCGGGAUGCCCGGGCUACACCAACGGCGACCGCGACAGGCUCGUCGUGUCGGCAGCAUUCAAUGCUCUGCCGCAGGAGUAUGCCAGCGUUGUGGCCAUUGCAGAGGAGUUCUACACGAGCACUGGCAGGUGGAGCGUGCCGGACGCGGAGUCGAGGCUCACGCGGUUCCAGAACACCCUGACCAGCGUGCGCGGUAGCAGCAGCAGUGGCGAGCCGUCAAUUCACUUUGUGCGCGGCGUGGGAGGCGGCCGUGGUGGCCGCGGAGGGCGCGGUGUGCGCAACAAGGAGAACAUCCAGUGCCACAGGUGCCAGGGCUGGGGACACUACAAGUACGAGUGCCCAGAGCAGGCCGCUGAGGGCGGCGGUGGCAACCGGGGGCGCGGUGCACACGUUGGCCGGGACGGCGGUGACCGGCGCAUGUGGGCGGUGAACGUGGACCAGGGAAACGGCCGGGGGCGCGGCCGGGGGGUCCGCGCCUAGUAGCGUUCGUAGGAGCAGAAGAUAUGAUGUGGAGCAUAGACUAUGAUGCUAGCUCCGAUGUGAUGUGAACGGCCACGUUGGGCUGUCGGUGCGAGUAAAGCAUCGUGAGUAUGUCGGUGCGAGUAAAGCAUCGUGAGUAUGUCGGUGCAAGGAAGGCAUCGUGAGUACGAUAUGCGUGCGAGUAUGACACGCGGUGUGAGUGAAGCACCAGUAUGAGACGUGCAAGUGAAGCACGGGGUGUGAGUUAAGCACCUGGAGAUGUACGAGAGCAAAUGCAACGGAAUUGGCUUUGCGACUGUUGCACGAGUGAGGUGCACAGGUAUGUUAUGUGGCGCGUGAGGCCUGAUUACUGCGGUAUGGCCUGAUCACAGCGAGUGAGGUCUGAUCACUGCGAGUGAGACCUGAUCACUGCGCGAGACGCCAGCGGUUGAGAGUUGCUGUUAUGCUCUUAUCAUAUGAUGUUAAAAGAUCAUCUUAUGUGUAUGGCUCUCAAGCACUUG